rnacentral:rRNA from 1 species
GUCCACGCCGUAAACGAUGGAUACUAGCUGUUCGGAGCAAUCUGAGUGGCUAAGCUAAAGUGAUAAGUAUCCCACCUGGGGAGUACGUUCGCAAGAAUGAAACUCAAAGGAAUUGACGGGGCCCGCACAAGCGGUGGAGCAUGUGGUUUAAUUCGAUGAUACGCGAGGAACCUUACCAAGGCUUAAAUGGGAAACGACAGGUUUGGAAACAGACUUUUCUUCGGACGUUUUUCAAGGUGCUGCAUGGUUGUCGU